rnacentral:lncRNA from 1 species
GAUAGGAAAAAAAUCCAGGUAAUGAAAAUUUGAGAAAACUGCUUGAAAUGGUGAAUUGUUAUUUGCAUUUGAAGUCAGAAAGCUUUUGCUCUUCCUUUCUUUCCCACCUCAUCUGUUGCACGUUCAGCAGCAGAGGGAGCUCUUACAAAGAUACAGAGGACUGGACGAAGCACAAAGACUCAGCAGGUUCUAAACGUUUUUUAUUUACAAUUUUAGACACUUUAUUCCAUCCAGCUCAGUUUAGUAUCAUCUACAGUUGCCAACAACGUUUCCUUCUAAAGGUAGUACAUGAAAGACUUCCAUCUCUUCUGCUCUCAGUCGAAAUCUGCCUUCCUGCUCUGUUUUAUAUUUGAGUGUAUCUUUUUCUGUCUUAAUCGUUCACGGUUCAUUUUUUCUACCCUGGCUAUGAGUUGCUGUGCAGUCUCCUUAGACACCACCUUGGGCUUCUCAGUAGCUUCUGUGACCAUGACUCUGAUCUUUUCUAAACAAAUUGCCAGGUUCCUCAUUUGGUAGCGACUCUCUUCAGAGUUCACAAUCAGCUCACCAGCUCGGUUUAUCUUAUUUCUGUGCAUUGAUGCCAUUUUUUCUCUUACAGCUUCUGGGAUCCAGUCUGCUGAUGCCAGGUGGAACCUGACUUCUGCCUUGGUAUUCACUUUAUUAACAUUCUGCCCACCAGGGCCGCUGCUCCGGCUGUAGGAUACAGUCAGUCGGUCCAUGGGAAUGUUGAAGGCCGCCGGCUUGGCCUCCUCCGGGUCGCUGGCGGUGCCGCCGUCCCGCGGCGGGUACAACUUGUCCAAGCUGUAGGCGCUGCGGAACUCGCUGCCGGUGGCGGCGCGCUGCGAGAAGCGGGCGGUGAGGAACCGCAGCCCCCAGGGCCCGCGCAGGGCGCGCGCCGCCAUCUUGGCGCUUUCGCAGUGCGCCGCGCCGCGGCGUCCCCUG